CAAUGAUUGAGUCAGUCAUGUGUAUGUAAUAAGGCCUCCAUAAAAACCGAAGAGGAUGGGGUUUGCAGAGCUUCUAGGCUGGUGAGCACUUGGAUGUGCUGGAGGCAUCCAGAGGGUGGAGCACGUGGAGAGGGCAUGAAUGCUCAGUGCACCUUCCCUCAUACCUUGCCUUAUACAGCGUUUCCAUCUGGCUGCUGUUGAGUUUUAUUCUUUAUAACAAUAUGCUAACCCUAAGCAAAGUUUUCCUGAGUUCUGUGAGCCAUUCUAGCAAAUGGUGGAACCUGAGAAAGGGGACAUGGGAAUCUCUGACUUACAGCCAGUCAGCCCGAAGCACAGGAUACCAAAAUCAUCAUACCAGAGACAUGAAUCUCCCUCAUUUGGCAUCCCAGGAGGCCUGGAUCAGUUUCACUGUGAAUGCUCCGCCGCUCAACCACACAAGCACCCUUCCUCCAGGCCCAGGGGAUACUGCAGAAGAGGCUGAAGGUUGCACUAUUGGCUUCCCUACUUUUGAGGUUUUGGGACUCCGACUGGCUUCCUGGCUCCUCACCUUGCAGAUGGUCUAUUGUGGGACCUCAUCUUGUGAUCAUGUCUCAGUAUGUUGCUCAGACUGGUCUUGAACUCCUGGCCUCAAGUGAUCCUCCCACCUCAGCCUCUUGAGUAGCUGGGACUACAGUUGCAAGCCAUCCUGUCUGGCUAGUUAUCUUUAAUUAAUGACAUUUGUUAAAGUAACACAAAAAUCCUAGAAACAUUUGCCUGUUGAAACUUUCUGAUAAUUUGAAUGAAGUAAAGUUUGGAGUCUCUGUCUCAUUGAAAAUACUCAAGGUUAAUAUAAUAAAAACAGCAAAGCAGUAA
rnacentral:lncRNA from 10 species